rnacentral:tRNA from 1 species
GCCUGGGUGGCUCAGUUGGUUAAGCAUGUGACUCUUGGUCUCAGGGUUGUGAGUUCAAGCCCCACAUUGGGCU